GUGAGAGCAACAGCUAUAAACUGUUGUGCUGCUUUCUGCCUCAGAGUCUGUCACAGCUUUAUCUAAGUUUUAGCUAUUUAAGUCUCAGCUACAUGCUUUGUAUUUAAUCUGCAACUGCAAGUAUACUGAGUAAAGGUUAUUGGCUCUUUAAACUUUAAAAAAGAGAGUUUUGCAUAGUUUUUAUAGGAGAAAAAAGAGAACUAAUUAAAGGAUCAAACGACCCAGGGCUGACUUUCGCACACUCUGCAAAUGUGAACUAGAGUCUAAUUCCCACAAGACGUGCAUCUGGCAACUUCACUAUGUAGCUUUCAGCAAAUACUGAAGAGGCAACUCCAGACUCUCCAAGUGUUCCUAUUAUCCAGGGAUGUCCCUGAUAAAUCCCAUAAUGUCCCACUUUUCCUUCAGAUGUCCCUACUUUCCUUGGAUAAAUGUUGUGUGGGGGGGUAUGGAGUUAUCUGACCCCGAGCCAUCUGAAGUCAGCCCUGUAUAGGGAAGUUUUUAAAUGUUUAAUGUAAUAUUAUGGUUUUAUAUAUGUUGAAAGCCACCCAGAAUGGCAACCCAGUGUGUUGGGUGGGAAAUAAAUAGUAAAAUUCUUCUUCUUCUUCUUCUUGAAUAGGGCGUCCCUAUUUUCAUCGGAGAAAGGUGGAAGGGAAUGAGUCACUGAGUCCUUGAAAGAAUGCUAAUAGAAGAACAAUUGGCCAUUUAGUAAUAAGGUUUAGUAAGAAAGAUCUUGAACACCAACAUGUGUAAACACGUCUGCACUAGUCAAAGUUCAUAUGGGAGACUGGAAAUCACAUAGGUAAUUUCUUCUUUUAAAAAGCCACUUCAUUUAGGAAUAACCGAGUAACUAAGACCAACAUUAUGGCUCAUUUUGUUUUAUCUUAGCAGCCAGUCGUUAGGCAAGUUCAAGGCAUUCUCCAUUACCUCUUGGGGGAGCAGAUUGCAUGGUUUAACUAUGCAGUUUGUGAAUAAUAGGUUAUUUUGCUUGUCUCAAAUUUUUCCACAUUUAGAAGAAGAAGAGAAGAGUUUGGAUUUGAUAUUCCACUUUAUCACUACCCGAAGGAGUCUCAAAGCUGCUAACAUUCUCCUUUCCCUUCCUCCCCCCAACAAACACUCUGUGAGGUGAGUGGGGCUGAGAGACUUCAGAGAAGUGUGACUGGCCCAAGGUCACCCAGCAGCUGCAUGUGGAGGAGCGGAGACACGAACCUGGUUCACCAGAUUAGGAGUCUACCACUCUUAACCACUACACCACACUGGCUCUGAUUUAGCUUCAUUGGAUUUCCCCAAGUUCUAGUAUUAGGAAAGAGGAGAAAAACUUUUCUCUAUCCAAUUUCACCACACCAUACAUAAUCUGGUACACCUAUAUAAUGUCACCUCUUGCUCACCUUUCUCAGAACUAAAAUGUUAUAACCUUUUCUCAUAGGCGAGUUGCUGUAUCCCAUGCUUUGUAUGUACAGAUGUUUCUCAUACAGUUUAUCAAAUCUUCAAAUAAUUACAGGCUGUCAAAUCAAUGCAGUUCUAAAACUAUUCAUUCAAAGCAUGUUUCAGUCAAAUAUAAAAAUGUAAAGAAUGAAAAAAAUAUAUUUAAAGACUAUUUACUUACUGUGGGUUGUCAAUCAAGGCUUCAGAGGGGUGUUUAUUAAAUAAAACAUUGGGAAAGACGUAGCGGAUAUGAGAUGCUAUGCCACCAAUGACAGGGUCACCUGGCUCAUACCACUCAUGUGGAAUAGGUACAGGAUUAGUUGUGGUAAAAUUAGCACUAUGCACUUGGCACACCAUGUUGGGGAAGAGCAAGAGAAGCAGCAGCAGCAAGGUUCUACACAUGGACUCUUCUUUGCCUCUCUACAAUAUCAUUAUUAUCAGCAGCAGCAGCCUGAUUUGAACAGCAUGGAUUUGGAGGCAGCAGACUCUGCCAGUUCAGUGCUUAAAGGGAUACGCAUGCAUCUUAUCAUUAAACCCUGUCACAAAGACCUGCCUUGAAUGGUAAAUAAGAUGAAGUGAUUUGAAAAUUUGCCGAUAUAAUCACAGUGCCUGGCUCUCUCUCCUGCAUUAUCCUAACUAUCUAUGGAACACUGGGG
rnacentral:lncRNA from 1 species